ACCUUAUGACUAAACAAAAGAAAUAAAUGAGAGGAUAUGUGUGCGUUGUCUGGCACCGAAACGGACGGCGGCUCAGCUAAGGCGGUAGAAGAUAAUAUGUUACCUACUACCGCGCUGAUUUUCAGCCGCUUCCCUUUAUGAUGCCACUGACUAUAAAUAAAAACUAAAAACUAAAAACUAAAACUAUGGCAAGUGCACGGCCGGCAGCUGUGAACCAAGGUCACCCGGGGUACUUCACACGCAUAAGCGGUUCGUGUUUUCAGCGGCCCCGAGUGCCUCACGCGGCUGUAAAAGGCUUUCAGUGCCUACGCUGCCGCCGUGCUGCGCCCACACUGUGCCAUAAACUGUAAAUAAAUAUAUGAUUGUGAUUUAAAACGUAAUUAGAAAUAUCAUGUAGUGAAUCUGUAGGCGAGUGGUAUAUUUUUGUGUAAUGAAUAAUUCAAUUUUACGAUGGAUAUUGGGAAUGAAGUCAUAGACUAAAGAAGGUAUUCAUAUUGAAGGUAGCUGUGAACAUUAGCUGUGUUGCAAAAAAUGGGAUGAUUUUGGAGAUAAGAAAAUAUGUACAAUAAUGGAAGAUUAUAUUAUGCCGCGGGAGUCCAUUUGUGUGUUGCGAAGAAAACUAGUGUCGCGCAAUCCAGGAUCCAAUUUAUUCCAACAGUGUGUGGAGUUAAAGGAGAAGCUUCCCGCAAACGAUGCUGAUUUAUGCUGAGGGGUUAGAAGCAGGUAGGAGGAUGCCCUGGUUCGGUGAGAGUUGAGGUCACGUGACCACCGUAGUUUAUUAAACAGAUAUUCGGGCAGCCGUUUCUGUAUAAUCCCAAAUAGAAGGCAGGCAAAGUGAAGGUGCCGACGGCUUGCCAAUUUCAAUAACUUUGAUCUUAUGAGGUACGGAGUAACGUGACUACGAGCAGGGAUGGUGUAGCAGUAUCGGGCACAAGCGUUUUGCACUCGCUGUAAAAGACGCUGUGUUUUACCAUAGAUGCAAGGACCGUAUACUGUGUCAGCAUAAUUUAAUUUAGAUAAAACUAAACUUUCACAUAACUGCUCACGAAUCUCAGUUUUUAUGUAGGGUCUUAUACGAUAAAGAAUUUUUAAUCUAUAAAAGCAGUUUGACACUAAAUUUAAAACAUGUUUCUCGAAGCGCAGGUUAGAGUCAAAGUAAAUGCCGAGGUUUUUAGCUUCACUUACCAUUUGGAUUGACUCGCCAGCUACCUUUAUAUCGGGGUUAUUGGCUUUUAUUUUUGAAACUUGUUGUUUUGAUCCUAUUAUAAGAAACUGUGAUUUGGUGGGAUUCAGUAAGAGCGAAUUACUUUUAGACCAUG